rnacentral:pre_miRNA from 1 species
AAAGAUCACAAUUUUAUAUUGUUUAUGUUUAGCGUUUGAUCGUUUAUCUUAUUUAAAAAAAAUUUAUAAUUAGUAUUUUAUUGUUAUUAAAUGAUAAAACAUUUAAUACUUUAUGUGUGACUAAUUUUUUUUAUGAUUUUUUAAAUAAGAUGAACAGUCAAACAUUGGAUACGGAAAUUCACAGAUACACUUAAA